AUUCAAGAAUAGAGCCCCAGGUCUAAUCACCGACUUGAACUCGUCACGCGAGACACGCACGGAGUCGACAAAACGUCCGAGUGGCGUACGUGUGACCAUACGUGACUGCAGGCAGGCAGACUCGGCGGUACUCGGUGCUAGUCGGCGCCACUCGGCGUUGCUAGGCGGUUGACCGCCGCGCCUGCGCCGAGUAGCGCCGAGUCACGUACGCCGCUGCCGCCGCCAUGUUGCUCCGCGCUCCAGCGCCGGUCGGACGCAUCGGACGUUCUGUCGACUUCGUGCGUGUCUCGCGUGUGUCUUUCGCGUAUUCAGAAUUCGAAUUGUGCGCAGCUACGAUGUUGAGACUGUGAGAGUGUCGUCGCGAGCCAUGUGAGAUCGUAACAGAGUACGUAACAGAGGUCGUAUGUGUAAAGCGCGACACCGUGCGUUCAGUUUAGAGUAAAGUGUUCGCGUGCGCGUUCGAACAAAGUGUUUGCUCGAAGGAGACGUUCGAUAGAAUGUCGAUCGUGCCAAUAAUGAAACUUUAAUUCGCCGCCACUCAGACGAGACGUACUUUCACGUAUUUUUUCAAAUGUAACGGUCGCGCCAAGUGAAAUUCUCGCGCGCGGUUUACGUUUUACUCGUGUGUGAUAUAUAUUCGUAAUAUCGGGAGUGCCGAAUAAAGUAUCGGGCGAUCGUUAUUAAUGUGCGAUCAUUAUUAAUGUGAUUCGAGAACAGCAGGAUGAUGUCAGCAGAAAGCGGCAUCCAUGGAGCGACUCGGUAUUCCGAAAAAGGAAUGUAGCAGUAGCAGCAGCAUGCAUCAGCAUCAGGAGCAGCGACAGCAAUCGGUAGCGAGGCCAGGUUUAAAUCGUCAUGUUGGAAAUCCAUUGGACAUUAUUCAUUGUGUCCAGCUACCAAUUGCUAGUCUGACUAGUAAAGAAUCAUUUAAGGAUUUUCAAAAAUGAUGAUUUUACAAUGUAGACUGCGUAUCAGGUAUCUAUUUCAUGAGAAUUGAAAAACUAGAAUUGGAAAAGCUGGAUGAAUGAGAAUUAACCAAUCAGGGUUCAAUCAGGGUACUAUAGUUGAAACGAAAUCGUGAAGAAUUGACAAUUUUAAUUUGAUAUGGAUACUUUAUUGUACAGGUAAAAAUUUUGAUGCGGGAGAUCUCCUUAAUAACGAUAUUAAUUGACAUUUUCAAUACAAAAAUAACAAACAUUGUAGAAAUUUUAAGGAAAUAAUUGAAUAAUCUCAAUCCUAUUCUAUACAGUUUAAUAAUACAUACCCCAAUCAAAUUGAUUAUUCAAGGAUUAUAGAAAAUAUAAUAGUUAUUACAGCAGUUCAUAUUUUUUUCUAGAGGUCAGAUUCUCUCUUUUUGUAUAUAUUAUAUUAUCUUUAUGCUGAAAAAUUAGGUAGAAGAAGUAUAAAAAGUCGUAUAUUUUUAGAAAACAUUUUAUUGCAAUUAUCAUUUGUAUUUUACACUCGUUCACACAAUACUUCAUAAAUAGUUCAUUUAAACAAUCAGCAAUAAAACAGCUGUACCAAGAGAUACUAUGAUACACAUUACUAUUUAUAUUAUGGCAGCAUGGUAUCGUAUUCCGGAAUUCUUGUAUACUCGGUACGUGCUGUAAUAACUCAUUGCACAGGACUGUCUCAAAGUUAUCUGUCUAUCUAAUGUCAAUGUUUAGGAUCUCAUAAAGAAACUUAAAAAUUUAUUAGAAAGAAACUAAAACUUUAAAAUUUUAAGCAAUAUUAGAUUAAGGUUUCUGGCCUUUCAGCCGAGAACUCCGCGUUGACAUGAGUGAACAACUAUAGUGGCAAAUUGUGAAUUUUAAUUCUAUACUCGAAUUAUUGUACAAGCUUAAUUUUCACUCUGUAAGAUUUAGAUAGAUUGUAUGUGAAAAAAUUAAAUUACAAUUAUUCCUAGCGAUAGCUCUCUAACAAAAGUUCAAUUAUAUAUACAAUGAAAUAUAUAUAUAAUUAUUAAUAUAAAUUAAUAAC